GUUUUUUUGUUGUUUUUUUUUUCUUCAUAUUUAUAAAAAAGUGCUUGCAGGCUGAGACUUAGCAUGCCAAGUUUCAGCCUAGAGCGAAUUUUUACAGCUGAGUUAUAAACCCCUGAAAAUAGGGUUUAUAAUGGAAGUGCUGACACAACCUUAACUAUCACAAUGAGAAUGGCACAGCUAUAAUCAAAAGUACAUAGUGUACUUUGCCUUUGACUAACAUAAAUAGUUGUCAGGAUGGACUCCAAUAGAGCUCUCCAUGUUAUUUUGACUCCAGCACAAUGGAAGUAAUUCCUUAUUAUGGUGGGUGAUCAGUGGGUUUCCACUGGAGUAUGAAGAUAAUAUCCUCCAACUAGACCAAGCCUUUGAUGCUGAGGAUAUUUAACUGAUUUUACUGUUGCUG
rnacentral:lncRNA from 1 species